AGUGAGCCAGACGGCCGCGUGCUCUAAAAAAGCGCGAGGAAAGUCCGGGCUCCAAAGGGCAGGAUGCCAGCUAACAGCUGGGCGGGGCAACCCGACGGAAAGUGCCACAGAAAAGAAAACUCCCCGCUUUUGCGGAGAAAAGCUGAAACGGUGCGGUAAAAGCGCACCAGCGUGUCGGCAACGCCACGGCUUGGAAAACCCCAUCCGGAGCAAGCGCAAAUAGGAACGCGAUACGGCCGCCCUUCCGUGCGUUCGGGUUGCGUGCUAGAGACGUUUGGCGACAAGCGUUCGAGAUAAAUGGCCGUCCUACGACAGAACCCGGCUUAUCGGCUCGCUCGC
rnacentral:RNase_P_RNA from 1 species